GACGAACGUUGGCGGCGUGCUUAACACAUGCAAGUCGAACGGAAAGGCCCUGCUUUUGUGGGGUGUUCGAGUGGCGAACGGGUGAGUAACACGUGAGUAACCUGCCCUUGACUUUGGGAUAACUUCAGGAAACUGGGGCUAAUACCGGAUAGGAGCUCCUGCUGCAUGGUGGGGGUUGGAAAGUUUCGGCGGUUGGGGAUGGACUCGCGGCUUAUCAGCUUGUUGGUGGGGUAGUGGCUUACCAAGGCUUUGACGGGUAGCCGGCCUGAGAGGGUGACCGGCCACAUUGGGACUGAGAUACGGCCCAGACUCCUACGGGAGGCAGCAGUGGGGAAUAUUGCACAAUGGGCGGAAGCCUGAUGCAGCAACGCCGCGUGCGGGAUGACGGCCUUCGGGUUGUAAACCGCUUUCGCCUGUGACGAAGCGUGAGUGACGGUAAUGGGUAAAGAAGCACCGGCUAACUACGUGCCAGCAGCCGCGGUGAUACGUAGGGUGCGAGCGUUGUCCGGAUUUAUUGGGCGUAAAGGGCUCGUAGGUGGUUGAUCGCGUCGGAAGUGUAAUCUUGGGGCUUAACCCUGAGCGUGCUUUCGAUACGGGUUGACUUGAGGAAGGUAGGGGAGAAUGGAAUUCCUGGUGGAGCGGUGGAAUGCGCAGAUAUCAGGAGGAACACCAGUGGCGAAGGCGGUUCUCUGGGCCUUUCCUGACGCUGAGGAGCGAAAGCGUGGGGAGCGAACAGGCUUAGAUACCCUGGUAGUCCACGCUGUAAACGGUGGGUACUAGGUGUGGGGUCCAUUCCACGGGUUCCGUGCCGUAGCUAACGCUUUAAGUACCCCGCCUGGGGAGUACGGCCGCAAGGCUAAAACUCAAAGGAAUUGACGGGGCCCCGCACAAGCGGCGGAGCAUGCGGAUUAAUUCGAUGCAACGCGUAGAACCUUACCUGGGUUUGACAUGGAUCGGGAGUGCUCAGAGAUGGGUGUGCCUCUUUUGGGGUCGGUUCACAGGUGGUGCAUGGCUGUCGUCAGCUCGUGUCGUGAGAUGUUGGGUUAAGUCCCGCAACGAGCGCAACCCUUGUUCACUGUUGCCAGCACGUUAUGGUGGGGACUCAGUGGAGACCGCCGGGGUCAACUCGGAGGAAGGUGGGGAUGACGACAAGUCAUCAUGCCCCUUAUGUCCAGGGCUUCACGCAUGCUACAAUGGCUGGUACAGAGAGUGGCGAGCCUGUGAGGGUGAGCGAAUCUCGGAAAGCCGGUCUCAGUUCGGAUUGGGGUCUGCAACUCGACCUCAUGAAGUCGGAGUCGCUAGUAAUCGCAGAUCAGCAACGCUGCGGUGAAUACGUUCCCGGGGCU
rnacentral:rRNA from 1 species